CCGAGAUUUUGCUACAGAAUAGUGAAAAGGACCAAGAAAAAAGGAACAAAACCAAGAGGAAGCGAAGAGGAAGAGUGCUGGAGAGACAUACAGACAGACAAAGGGAGUGAGAUGCUCAGACACCUCCUUUUGCUUUCCCUCCUGAUGACCUUUAACUUCUGCGUCACCUUGGGAGGGAGAGCUCGAUACAAACAGAAGCAGAUGGACAAUGCGCUGAAGCCAUAUGUGGGUCGAGUGGAUGCAGGUGAGAUCAACUUAAACCCAACACUGGUCACUCACUCACAUUCUGUAAGCAGUUUACAGAGUGAAGAAACACCAGACAGAAGGUAACCAGAGCGCAGUAUUAAACCCAGGAUUUGCUUUAGCUGUGAGGAGACAAUGUUGUACCAGCAUGCAGCCCAACACUGAUGUGUCUCAUAAUUAAGAACCAUAAAAUAAAAUUUUGUGUUAUGUAGCCAGUCAACUUGGUAUGAAACCAACAGGGG
ensembl:lncRNA